UGUGCCCUGUGAGCUGCUGUCAGCCCGUGGAGCCAGACCAGCAUGAAGGGUGGAGGGAGUCAGCAUUAAACCAAGUCUUGCAUUUGAUCAGGUACAAGGUAAAAUGGAAACAACAACAGCCUCCUCGCCAAUUCUUCUGAAGGAGCAUGUUCUGAGGAAAUUACAAGAUUACAACUCUCUCAAGCAUCAGAAAGACCUACCAGUGUGGAUGCUACACCACAUGGACAGGAGCUCUUACUGAAACUGUCUACUGCAUAUCCUUGCACCUGUGCAGAAUACGAUCAUUGUGGCUUUGUAGCUCAUGUUCAUUCACUCUUAACGUUAUUGCGUCUGAAACAAAUAAAAGUGGGAGUUUCAUGACAUAAAUACAUCUUUGAGAUAUUUGAUCACUAAAUUAGAUUUCCAUUAGCUUCUGAAUGACAACAAAAUUCAGCUAGGAGUAUCCAUUAGUAAAUGGCUUUGCUUCUUUCCUUUGACUGUCCACACAAAACAUAGAAAAAUCCAUUUCUGACAAACGUCGAAUGGAUUUAAUGUGCAAGUACAAUACAUGCAAUCUGCCCAAAAUUUGGAUGCCUGACAUCCAC